rnacentral:rRNA from 1 species
UUGUCAUAUGCUUAUUUCAAGGACUAAGCCAUGCAAAUGUAAGAGUACCUGUGUUUCGGCACAGGGGGGUCUGUGUACGGCUCAUUAUAAGGUUAAUAGUCUACCCAACGAAGGACGUUUUCUUAGCGUUCCAACGGGAUAACCGUGCUAACCGUACGGCUAAUACCACGGGUGAAGAUUCCGCGACCAUCAAACCAGUAGGGGACGAAAGUUUUCCUGCUGGGGUCUCGGAAGCUGUUGGCCGAGACAAAGACCAACGCCGCUCAAACGGCAGGUGUAAUUGUUGACGCAGGCCAACGAAGCAGAAGCGUCGCAGGUUCCUGCGACGCGUUGUUGGACGAAUUCACCACCUAUCAGGUUGUAGGUAGUGUAGUGGACUACCUAGCCAUUGACGGGUAACGGGGAAUUGGGGUUCGAUUCCGGAGAGGGUGCCUGAGAAACGGCAACCAUGACUACGGACAGCAGCAGGUGCGCAAAUUGCCCAAUGCUAACACUAUAACUAGCGAGGCAGCGACGAAAAAUAGCAUUCCUACCGGCAUUCGCCGUUAGGGCUUGCAAUGGAUUGUAUCUACAAACACUGCUGAAAACCAUU